GACGAACGCUGGCGGCACGCCUAACACAUGCGAGUCGAACGGACUUACAAGAGCUUGCUUUUUUAAGUUAGUGGCGGACGGGUGAGUAACACGUGAGCAACCUGCCUCUGAGAGGGGGAUAGCUUCUGGAAACGGAUGGUAAUACCCCAUAAAAUAUAAAUAUCGCAUGAUAGAUAUAUCAAAGAAAUUCGCUCAGAGAUGGGCUCGCGUCUGAUUAGAUAGUUGGUGAGGUAACGGCUCACCAAGUCGACGAUCAGUAGCCGGACUGAGAGGUUGAACGGCCACAUUGGGACUGAGACACGGUCCAGACUCCUACGGGAGGCAGCAGUGGGGAAUAUUGCACAAUGGAGGGAACUCUGAUGCAGCGAUGCCGCGUGGAGGAAGAAGGUUUUCGGAUUGUAAACUCCUUUUAUCAGGGACGAUAAUGACGGUACCUGAAGAAAAAGCUCCGGCUAACUACGUG
rnacentral:rRNA from 1 species